CCUACGGGUGACAGCAGUGAGGAAUAUUGGUCAAUGGACGGAAGUCUGAACCAGCCAUGCCGCGUGCAGGAAGACGGCUCUAUGAGUUGUAAACUGCUUUUGUACGAGGGUAAACGCAGAUACGCGUAUCUGUCUGAAAGUAUCGUACGAAUAAGGAUCGGCUAACUCCGUGCCAGCAGCCGCGGUAAUACGGAGGAUUCAAGCGUUAUCCGGAUUUAUUGGGUUUAAAGGGUGCGUAGGCGGUCGGAUAAGUUAGAGGUUAAAUCCCGGGGCUUAACUCCGGAAUUGCCUCUGAUACUGUUCGGCUAGAGAGUAGUUGCGGUAGGCGGAAUGUAUGGUGUAGCGGUGAAAUGCUUAGAGAUCAUACAGAACACCGAUUGCGAAGGCAGCUUACCAAGCUACUUCUGACGUUGAGGCACGAAAGCGUGGGGAGCAAACAGGAUUAGAUACCCGGGUAGUC
rnacentral:rRNA from 1 species